rnacentral:rRNA from 1 species
UGGAGAAUAUUGCACAAUGGGCGCAAGCCUGAUGCAGCCAUGCCGCGUGUAUGAAGAAGGCCUUCGGGUUGUAAAGUACUUUUAGCGGGGAGGAAGGGAGUAAAGUUAAUACCUUUGCUCAUUGACGUUACCCGCAGAAGAAGCACCGGCUAACUCCGUGCCAGCAGCCGCGGUAAUACGGAGGGUGCAAGCGUUAAUCGGAAUUACUGGGCGUAAAGCGCACGCAGGCGGUUUGUUAAGUCAGAUGUGAAAUCCUCGGGCUCAACCUGGGAACUGCAUCUGAUACUGGCAAGCUUGAGUCUCGUAGAGGGGGGUAGAAUUCCAGGUGUAGCGGUGAAAUGCGUAGAGAUCUGGAGGAAUACCGGUGGCGAAGGCGGCCCCCUGGACGAAGACUGACGCUCAGGUGCGAAAGCGUGGGGAGCAAACAGG